rfam:Myotis brandtii contig186358, whole genome shotgun sequence.
GGCAGUUCUUGGGUGACACACCCUGGAAUCAGGCUCCUUCCUCUCUUUCCUCUCUGGUUCUGUGUGUGUGUCACCCGAGAACCACA